UUUAUGGAGAGUUUGAUCCUGGCUCAGGAUGAACGCUGGCGGCGUGCCUAAUACAUGCAAGUCGAGCGAACAGAUGAGGAGCUUGCUCCUCUGACGUUAGCGGCGGACGGGUGAGUAACACGUGGAUAACCUACCUAUAAGACUGGGAUAACUACGGGAAACCGGAGCUAAUACCGGAUAAUAUAUUGAACCGCAUGGUUCAAUAGUGAAAGACGGUUUUGCUGUCACUUAUAGAUGGAUCCGCGCCGCAUUAGCUAGUUGGUAAGGUAACGGCUUACCAA
rnacentral:rRNA from 1 species